rnacentral:rRNA from 1 species
AGUGAACGCUGGCGGUAGGCCUAACACAUGCAAGUCGAACGGCAGCACAGUAAGAGCUUGCUCUUACGGGUGGCGAGUGGCGGACGGGUGAGGAAUACAUCGGAAUCUACUUUUUCGUGGGGGAUAACGUAGGGAAACUUACGCUAAUACCGCAUACGACCUACGGGUGAAAGCAGGGGAUCUUAGGACCUUGCGCGAUUGAAUGAGCCGAUGUCGGAUUAGCUAGUUGGCGGGGUAAAGGCCCACCAAGGCGACGACCCGUAGCUGGUCUGAGAGGAUGAUCAGCCACACUGGAACUGAGACACGGUCCAGACUCCUACGGGAGGCAGCAGUGGGGAAUAUUGGACAAUGGGCGCAAGCCUGAUCCAGCCAUACCGCGUGGGUGAAGAAGGCCUUCGGGUUGUAAAGCCCUUUUGUUGGGAAAGAAAAGCAGCAGGUUAAUCCCCCGCUGUUCUGACGGUACCCAAAGAAUAAGCACCGGCUAACUUCGUG